rnacentral:rRNA from 1 species
UACGAAGGGGGCUAGCGUUGCUCGGAAUCACUGGGCGUAAAGCGCACGUAGGCGGCUUUUUAAGUCAGGGGUGAAAUCCUGGAGCUCAACUCCAGAACUGCCUUUGAUACUGAGAAGCUUGAGUUCGGGAGAGGUGAGUGGAACUGCGAGUGUAGAGGUGAAAUUCGUAGAUAUUCGCAAGAACACCAGUGGCGAAGGCGAGUCCCUGGACAACUCCUGACACUGAGGCACGAAAGCUAGGGGAGCAAACAGG